CAUGCAUGUCUAAGUAUAAGCAAUUAUACAGCGAAACUGCGAAUGGCUCAUUAUAUAAGUUAUCGUUUAUUUGAUAGCACCUUACUACUUGGAUAACCGUGGUAAUUCUAGAGCUAAUACAUGCUAAAAAUCCCGACUUCGGAAGGGAUGUAUUUAUUAGAUUAAAAACCAAUGCCUUUUGGCUUUUUGGUGAUUCAUGAUAACUUCUCGAAUCGCAUGGCCUUGCGCCGGCGAUGGUUCAUUCAAAUUUCUUCCCUAUCAACUUUCGAUGCGAAGGUCUUGUCUUCGCAUGGUUACAACGGGUAACGGAGGGUUAGGGCUCGACCCCGGAGAGGGAGCCUGAGAAAUGGCUACCACUUUUAAGGAAGGCAGCAGGCGCGCAAAUUACCCAAUCCCGACACGGGGAGGUAGUGACAAUAAAUACUGAUACAGGGCUCUUAUGGGUCUUGUAAUCGGAAUGAGUACAAUUUAAAUCCCUUAACGAGGAACAAUUGGAGGGCAAGUCUGGUGCCAGCAGCCGCGGUAAUUCCAGCUCCAAUAGCGUAUAUUAAAGUUGUUGUGGUUAAAAAGCUCGUAGUUGAACCUUGGGCCUGGCUGGCCGGUCCCCCUCACCGGGUGCACUGGUCCGGUCGGGUCUUUCCCUCUAUGGAACCUCAUGCUCUUUACUGAGUGUGACGGGGAAAUAGGACUUUUACUUUGAAAAAAUUAGAGUGCUCCAGGCAGGCCUAUGCUCGAAUAGUACAGCAUGGAAUAAUAGAAUAGGACGUGUGGUUCUAUUUUGUUGGUUUCUAGGACCGCCG
rnacentral:rRNA from 1 species